UGCAUAAGUUUGACAUGGCUGUGAGUUCUCUGGUGUCAGACUUUAUACUGGAUUGUAGCUUCAGAAACGCCACGUUUCAGAGGAACUAAGGGUCCCUCUGGUGAUUGGACUACUAGAGUGAAGCAAAUUGCCAAAUUGUGGAGAAAAGCAAGCUCACAAGAGCACCAUAUGUGGUAUUUUAAGAAACUCCUAUCUUUUAAAUAUUUAAAUACAGUGCUUGAACCUUAUUUGUAUUAGGUUAAUAAAAAAACAAAUUUCCAUUUCAGAAAAUGCUUGUUAGUACCUGUACAACAAGCAACUUUAUUUUUACAGUGAUUUUCUAACUCCUUAUGUCUUAAUACAGAGUGUGACAUUUUUAUAAGCAAGUUAACAGAAAAGGAUCCCAGCACAGACACCAAGGUGGGCAGAUCACUGGAGGUCAGGAGUUUGAGACCAGCCUGGCCAACAUGGUGAAACCCCAUCUCUACCAAAAAAAAAAAAAAAUUAGCCCAGCAUGGUGGUGGGUGCCUGUAAUCCCAGCUACUCAGGAGGCUGAUGCACAAGAAUUGCUUGAACCC
rnacentral:lncRNA from 1 species